CUUGAAGAGAGAAGCAUUUGAAUCCAACAGAAGCUGCAUAGUAUGAGGAGAGAAGUCAUUUUACUUCAAGAAAAUAUGAAGUGGCCAGCGAUUUUUGUCUUGCUGAGCAUAUGCUCACAGGCUGCAGCACAAGAUAUCGAAGUAUCCGUGUUCUCUGCAACAUCGAAGAGCGCGAUUCUCAGAUGGACCAGGGUCUACGGAGCCAGCUCAUACAAGGUCAUCGCCGCCCCCCAGAACUCCCCAGGCAACCCCGUUGGUUAUGCCUUGUUUGGUCCAAACACAGUGAUGGGCACCAUCAACUCUCUGUCCCCAAACAUCAUGUAUACAUUCACAGUUGCAGCUCUG